rnacentral:rRNA from 1 species
UACAGAGGGGGCAAGCGUUGUUCGGAAUUACUGGGCGUAAAGGGCGCGUAGGCGGCCAACUAAGUCAGACGUGAAAUCCCAAGGCUUAACCUUGGAACUGCGUCUGAUACUGGAUGGCUUGAGUUCGGGAGAGGGAAGUGGAAUUCCAGGUGUAGCGGUGAAAUGCGUAGAUAUCUGGAGGAACACCGGUGGCGAAGGCGGCUUCCUGGACCGACACUGACGCUGAGGCGCGAAAGCCAGGGGAGCAAACGGG